AUUCCUUUUAGUAUAUGUUUUCAUUUUGUUUGGAUUUGAUAUCAGUGUAAAACCGACUAUAGAGACAAAAAUAGGAAUAUUGAUUUAGCCAUAGAAAAGUAUGGUGCUCCAUACCCGACCAAAAAUAUUUCUGUUUUUGUUAAAAUGUAGUUGUGUAAAUGUGGCCUAAAUUAAAAAUACAUUUAAGGAAAUGUAGGAAGCUCUAUCUCCAUGGAUAAUGAACUAAAGGCUCCAUUUCUAGGCUGCUGAAGUUGAGGCUGAAGGCUCUGGACUUAUGAGUAAUUUGAUCUAAUUGAUAAUCAUGGUGUGUGCAUACGAGUGUUAGGUGAUAUUAAAUUAUUACCAACUGAUGUACAAGAAUCAGUAGCAAGAGCUGUGACAAUGACUAAAAACAAUAACAAUUAA